GAUGAACGCUAGCGGCAGGCCUAACACAUGCAAGUCGAGGGGUAGCAGGAUUAAGCUUGCUUAAUUGCUGACGACCGGCGCACGGGUGCGUAACGCGUAUGCAACCUACCUUAUACUGGGGUAUAGCCCGGAGAAAUUCGGAUUAAUCCCCCAUAGUACUAAUGAAUCGCAUGGUUUAUUAGUUAAAGCAUUGCGGUAUAAGAUGGGCAUGCGUCCUAUUAGCUAGAUGGUGAGGUAACGGCUCACCAUGGCUACGAUAGGUAGGGGGCCUGAGAGGGUGGUCCCCCACAAUGGUACUGAGACACGGACCAGACUCCUACGGGAGGCAGCAGUGAGGAAUAUUGGUCAAUGGGCGCAAGCCUGAACCAGCCAUGCCGCGUGCAGGAAGAAUGCCCUAUGGGUUGUAAACUGCUUUUAUUUGGGAAUAAACCUCUUUACGUGUAGAGAGCUGAAGGUACCAAAUGAAUAAGCACCGGCUAACUACGUGCCAGCAGCCGCGGUAA
rnacentral:rRNA from 1 species